ACGAACGCUGGCGGCGUGCUUAACACAUGCAAGUCGCACGCUGAAGCUUGGUGCUUGCACUGGGUGGAUGAGUGGCGAACGGGUGAGUAAUACGUGAGUAACCUGCCCUUGACUCUGGGAUAAGCCUGGGAAACUGGGUCUAAUACUGGAUAUGACAUGCCACUGCAUGGUGGUGUGUGGAAAGGGUUUUACUGGUUUUGGAUGGGCUCACGGCCUAUCAGCUUGUUGGUGGGGUAAUGGCCUACCAAGGCGACGACGGGUAGCCGGCCUGAGAGGGUGACCGGCCACACUGGGACUGAGACACGGCCCAGACUCCUACGGGAGGCAGCAGUGGGGAAUAUUGCACAAUGGGCGGAAGCCUGAUGCAGCGACGCCGCGUGAGGGAUGACGGCCUUCGGGUUGUAAACCUCUUUCAGCACGGAAGAAGCGAGAGUGACGGUACGUGCAGAAGAAGCGCCGGCUAACUACGUG
rnacentral:rRNA from 1 species